GACGGGGCCCGCACAAGCGGUGGAGCAUGUGGUUUAAUUCGAAGCAACGCGAAGAACCUUACCAGGUCUUGACAUCCCCUGACAACCCGAGAGAUCGGGCGUUCCCCCGUUCGGGGGACAGGGUGACAGGUGGUGCAUGGUUGCCGUCAGCUCGUGUCGUGAGAUGUUCGGUUAAGUCCGCUAACGAGCGCAACCCUCGCUGUGUGUUACAAGUGUCACACGGUACUGCCGAUAUUAAGUCGGAGGAAGGUGGGGAUGACGUCAAGUCAGCAUGACCUUUAUAUCCAGGGCUACACACACGCUACAAUGGCCAGUACAAUGGGUUGCCAAGCCGCGAGGCGGAGCCAAUCCUAAAAAGCUGGCCUCAGUUCAGAUUGCAGUCUGCAACUCGACUGCAUGAAGUUGGAGUUGCUAGUAACCGCAGGUCAGCAAUACUGCGGUGAAUACGUUCCCGGGGAUU
rnacentral:rRNA from 1 species